rnacentral:rRNA from 1 species
UACGUAGGGUGCGAGCGUUAAUCGGAAUUACUGGGCGUAAAGCGUGCGCAGGCGGUUGUGCAAGACCGAUGUGAAAUCCCCGGGCUCAACCUGGGAACUGCAUUGGUGACUGCACGGCUAGAGUGCGUCAGAGGGGGGUAGAAUUCCACGUGUAGCAGUGAAAUGCGUAGAGAUGUGGAGGAAUACCGAUGGCGAAGGCAGCCCCCUGGGAUGACACUGACGCUCAUGCACGAAAGCGUGGGGAGCAAACAGG